ensembl:misc_RNA Y_RNA Y RNA
GGCAGGUCCGAAGGCAGGGAAGGAUCUCAGUCGAUCGUCCACAGUCAAGUACAGAUCAAACUGCUUGUUCUGCUCUUUCCCCCUUCUCACCACUGCCCUUGACUAGUCUUAA